rnacentral:rRNA from 1 species
UACGGGGGGAGCAAGCGUUGUUCGGAUUUACUGGGCGUAAAGGGCGCGUAGGCGGCCACCGCAAGUCGGUUGUGAAAUCUCUGGGCUUAACCCAGAAAGGUCAACCGAUACUGCGGGGCUAGAGUGCAGAAGGGGCAACUGGAAUUCUCGGUGUAGCGGUGAAAUGCGUAGAUAUCGAGAGGAACACCGGUGGCGAAGGCGGGUCUCUGGGCAGUAACUGACGCUGAGGAGCGAAAGCGUGGGGAGCGAACAGG